GACGAACGCUGGCGGCGUGCUUAAUACAUGCAAGUCAACUGAACUUAAGGUAGCAAUAUUUUAAGGAGGUGGCGCACGGGUGAGUAACACGUAGGUAAUCUGCCUUUAGGUCUGACACAACCUACCGAAAGGUAGGCUAAUAUCAGAUGAUGCAGCGGCUCGACAUCGAGACAGUUGUUAAACCUUCGGGGCCUAAAGAUGAGCCUGCGUCUGAUUAGGUAGUUGGCGGAGUAAUAGCCCACCAAGCCUGCGAUCAGUAGCUGGUCUGAGAGGAUGAUCAGCCACACUGGAACUGAGACACGGUCCAGACUCCUACGGGAGGCAGCAGUAAGGAAUAUUGCUCAAUGGCCGAAAGGCUGAAGCAGCAAACGCCGCGUGGAGGACGAAAUACUUUGUUAU
rnacentral:rRNA from 1 species